UGGCGAACGGGUGAGUAACACGUGAAUAACCUACCUUGAUGAGGGGGACAACCAUUCGAAAGAGUGGCUAAUACCCCAUAAGCUCCUACGGGAGGAAAGCUGGCUUUGCUGGCGCUUCAGGAGGGGUUCACGUACUAUUAGCUAGUUGGUGGGGUAAUGGCCUACCAAGGCUAUGAUGGUUAGCCGGCCUGAGAGGGUGUCCGGCCACACUGGGACUGAGACACUGCCCAGACUCCUACGGGAGGCUGCAGUCGAGAAUCUUCCACUAAUGCGCGAAAGCGUGAUGGAGCAAUUCCGUGUGUAGGAUGAAGGCCUUAGGGUUGUAAACUACUGUUGGAAGGGCGUAAUCCCCGGGAGUUAAUACCUCUCCGGGUUGAACUCCCUUCGGAGGAAGUAGCGGCUAAAUUCGUGCCAGCAGCCGCGGUAAUACGAAUGCUGCAAGCGUAGUUCGGAAUCACUGGGCAUAAAGGGCACGUAGGCGGCUUGUUAAGUCAGCUGUGAAAUCCCUCGGCUUAACCGAGGAACUGCAGCUGAUACUGACAAGCUUGAGUUCGGGAGGGGAGAGCGGAAUUCCUGGUGGAGUGGUGAUAUGCAUAAAGACCAGGAGGAACGCCGGUGGCGAAAGCGGCUCUCUGGACCGAAACUGACGCUGAGGUGCGAAAGCUAGGGGAGCGAACAGGAUUAGAUACCCUGGUAGUCCUAGCCGUAAA
rnacentral:rRNA from 1 species